AUGCCGGCGGAGGGGACCCGGAUGGCCGGGCUGUGGGAGCGGGAGGUCGGCCGCCUCCGGCCCAAGCGCUUCGCCGACUCCGUCAGAGCAUCCGAGGACUUUGUGAAUUCUCUGGGCAUCCAGAAGCGGCUGCGGGAGCACCGGGGCUGCGUCAACACCAUAAGCUUCAACAGCACCGGGAGCCUGCUGCUGUCCGGGUCGGACGACCGCACCGUCGUGCUGUGGGACUGGGAGGCGGCGAGGCCGGCCCUGCAGAUCCACACCGGCCACGAGAACAACGUGCUCCACGCGCAGUUCAUGCCCCUCUCGGACGACCGGAGCAUCGUCACCUGCGGCGCCGACGGGGAGGUGCGAUACGUGCAGAUAGAGGAAGGGGGCCGUGCGGUCGUGGAUCAGGUCGUCGAGACGGAGUAUGCGGUGCACAGGUUGGCCGUCGAGCCAGGGAGCCCCCACACCUUCUACAGCGCCGGGCAAGAUGGAUCCGUGUGGCGCUUUGACCUAAGGGGGAAGCAGUCCAAGGAGCUCCUUAAAGUUGGGGUGAUAUACGAUGAUGGCGUGAAUGAUGCCCUUGACCUCUACGCCAUUGCUGUGGACCCAAGAAAUCCAUAUCGUGUGGCAGUCUCUGGAUCCGAUGAGUUUGUGCGGUUAUAUGACACCCGCAAGUAUCUGCAUGGGGAUUUCGGUUGCCCAAUUGAUUACUUCUGCCCUCCGGGUUUGAUCACUAAAAACCAAGAUGGAAUAACCGGUCUGGCAUUCUCACAGACCGGCGAGAUAUUAGCGUCAUAUAGUUGUGACAAUAUCUACCUUUUCGAGAGAGAGCAUGGGUUGCACUUCAACGAUUUUAAGGUUGGUGUAAUGCCCCUUUAUGGUGACGGUGUGGGUGCCGCCUUACCCCUUUAUAAAGACAAGUUGCCUGAACCUCGGUCUUUCGUGGGACACCGUAACAAGCAAACCGUUAAGGGUGUCAACUUCCUUGGUCCCAAUUGUGACUAUGUUGCCUCUGGAUCAGACUGUGGCCAUGUAUUUGUUUGGAGAAAGAAGGAUGGGGUGCUCAUGCGAGCGAUGAAAGGAGAUAAACGGAUCGUCAACUGUGUUGAACAGCAUCCUUCUGAGAUUGUUGUUGCAAGCAGCGGCAUUGCUACAGACGUCAAGAUUUGGGCACCUGGUGAUUGUGACCCCUCCACGAUUGACUUGGAUGAGGAUGAUGAGGACACGUUCAUGUUCAGCAGCAUGAGCAGCGACGACUCCGACAUCUCGGACUUGAUGGACGAUUUUAUUUUUGCGCCCCCGGGCUCCGGCUCCAGCUCCUCCGACGGGGAUGAAGACGGUGACGAUGAUGACGACGACGACGACGACGACGAUGAGGAAGGCGAUGAAGAUGCGGAUGAGGAGGGCGUGACGACAGACGGAGAUUCGGGCGAUGAAGACGACGAGGGGUGUGGCUGCGCCGAAGACAUGAACGACGACGAUUGA
rnacentral:rRNA from 1 species